rnacentral:rRNA from 1 species
CCUACGGGGGGCAGCAGUGAGGAAUAUUGGUCAAUGGGCGCGAGCCUGAACCAGCCAAGUAGCGUGAAGGAAGAAUGCCCUACGGGUUGUAAACUUCUUUUAUAAAGGAAUAAAGUGAGGCAAGUGUGCCUUUUUGUAUGUACUUUAUGAAUAAGGAAAGGCUAACUCCGUGCCAGCAGCCGCGGUAAUACGGAGGAUCCGAGCGUUAUCCGGAUUUAUUGGGUUUAAAGGGAGCGUAGAGGGGUUGUUUAGUCAGUAGUGAAAGUUGGCGGCUCAACCGUCAAAUUGCAAUUGAUACUGGCAGUCUUGAGUACAGUUGAGGUAGGUGGAAUUCGUGGUGUAGCGGUGAAAUGCUUAGAUAUCACGAAGAACUCCAGUUGCGAAGGCAGCUUACUAAACUGCCACUGACGUUGAGGCUCGAAAGUGUGGGUAUCAAACAGGAUUAGAUACCCCUGUAGUC